rnacentral:rRNA from 1 species
GCAGUCGACGAGAGAGGAUCGGUGCUUGCACUGAUCCAAUCGAGUGGCGGACGGGUGAGUAACGCGUGGGUAACCUGCCUCAUACAGGGGAAUAACAGUUGGAAACGGCUGCUAAAACCGCAUAAGCGCACAGUAUCGCAUGAUACAGUGUGAAAAACUCCGGUGGUAUGAGAUGGACCCGCGUCUGAUUAGCUAGUUGGUGAGGUAACGGCCCACCAAGGCAACGAUCAGUAGCCGGCCUGAGAGGGUGAACGGCCACAUUGGGACUGAGACACGGCCCAAACUCCUACGGGAGGCAGCAGUGGGGAAUAUUGCACAAUGGGGGAAACCCUGAUGCAGCGACGCCGCGUGAGUGAUGAAGUAUUUCGGUAUGUAAAGCUCUAUCAGCAGGGAAGAUAAUGACGGUACCUGACUAAGAAGCACCGGCUAAAUACGUGCCAGCAGCCGCGGUAAUACGUAUGGUGCAAGCGUUAUCCGGAUUUACUGGGUGUAAAGGGUGCGUAGGUGGUGAGACAAGUCUGAAGUGAAAAUCCGGGGCUUAACCCCGGAACUGCUUUGGAAACUGCCUGACUAGAGUACAGGAGAGGUAAGUGGAAUUCCUAGUGUAGCGGUGAAAUGCGUAGAUAUUAGGAGGAACACCAGUGGCGAAGGCGACUUACUGGACUGCUACUGACACUGAGGCACGAAAGCGUGGG